CCCUUAGAUGUUCUGGGCCGCACGCGCGCUACACUGACGGAUUCAACGAGCUUACAACCUUGGCCGAAAGGUCUGGGUAAUCUCCAAAAUCCGUCGUGAUGGGGAUAGAUUAUUGCAAUUAUUAAUCUUCAACGAGGAAUGCCUAGUAAGCGCAAGUCAUCAGCUUGCGUUGAUUACGUCCCUGCCCUUUGUACACGCCGCCCGUCGCUCCUACCGAUUGAAUGGUCCGGUGAAGCGUUUGGACUAUGGUUUUCUGAUGGUCCGCCGUUGGAUUACCGUGGGAAGUUCGUUAAACCUUAUCAUUUAGAGGAAGGAGAAGUCGUAACA
rnacentral:rRNA from 1 species